GAUAAACGCUGGCGGCGUGCUUAACACAUGCAAGUCGAACGGAGUAGUUCUCCCGAGGAUUGAUGAAGCUUGCUUCUGAUAAACUCAUUUGAGCUACUUAGUGGCGGACGGGUGAGUAACGCGUGGGUAACCUGCCCUAUGCAGGGGGAUAACAGUUGGAAACGACUGUUAAUACCGCAUAAGCGCACAGUAUCGCAUGGUACAGUGUGAAAAACUCCGGUGGCAUAGGAUGGACCCGCGUCUGAUUAGCUAGUUGGUGAGGUAACGGCCCACCAAGGCGACGAUCAGUAGCCGGCCUGAGAGGGUGUACGGCCACAUUGGGACUGAGACACGGCCCAAACUCC
rnacentral:rRNA from 1 species